UACCAGCACCCCGAGUGGUCGGGACGUUUUAUUGGGCCUAAAGCAUCCGUAGCCGGUUCUACAAGUCUUCCGUUAAAUCCACCUGCUUAACAGAUGGGCUGCGGAAGAUACUAUAGAGCUAGGAGGCGGGAGAGGCAAGCGGUACUCGAUGGGUAGGGGUAAAAUCCGUUGAUCCAUUGAAGACCACCAGUGGCGAAGGCGGCUGCCAGAACGCGCUCGACGGUGAGGGAUGAAAGCUGGGGGAGCAAACCGGG
rnacentral:rRNA from 1 species